UUUGACCUCAAAUCAGGUAGGAAUACCCGCUG
rnacentral:rRNA from 1 species